rnacentral:rRNA from 1 species
AUUGAACGCUGGCGGCAUGCUUUACACAUGCAAGUCGAACGGCAGCACGGGAGCUUGCUCCUGGUGGCGAGUGGCGAACGGGUGAGUAAUGCAUCGGAACGUACCCAGUAGUGGGGGAUAGCCCGGCGAAAGCCGGAUUAAUACCGCAUAUUUCCUGAGGGAGAAAGCGGGGGACCUUCGGGCCCCGCGCUACUGGAGCGGCUGAUGUCGGAUUAGCUAGUUGGUGAGGUAAAGGCUCACCAAGGCGACGAUCCGUAGCUGGUCUGAGAGGAUGAUCAGCUACACUGGGACUGAGACACGGCCCAGACUCCUACGGGAGGCAGCAGUGGGGAAUUUUGGACAAUGGGGGCAACCCUGACCCAGCCAUGCCGCGUGAGUGAAGAAGGCCUUCGGUUG